rnacentral:rRNA from 1 species
GAUGAACGCUGGCGGUAUGCUUAACACAUGCAAGUCGAACGGUCUCUUCGGAGAUAGUGGCGGACGGGUGAGUAACGCGUGAGAAUCUGGCUUUAGGUCUGGGACAACCAUUGGAAACGGUGGCUAAUACCGGAUGUGCCGAAAGGUGAAAGGUUAACUGCCUGGAGAUGAGCUCGCGUCUGAUUAGCUAGUUGGUAGGGUAAAAGCUUACCAAGGCGACGAUCAGUAGCUGGUCUGAGAGGACGAUCAGCCACACUGGGACUGAGACAC